GGAUUGGUAGCUCAGUGGUAGAGCAAUGGACUGCAGUUCCAUAGGUCAUGGGUUCAAUUCCCAUUCGAUCCU
rfam:Rosellinia necatrix DNA, scaffold: Contig12, strain: W97.